rnacentral:rRNA from 1 species
UACGUAGGGUGCGAGCGUUAAUCGGAAUUCCUGGGCGUAAAGCGCGCGCAGGCGGUUUUCCAAGUCAGUGGUGAAAGCCCGGAGCUCAACUCCGGAACUGCCAUUGAAACUGGCGAACUUGAGUACGAGAGAGGUGAGUGGAAUUCCCAGUGUAGAGGUGAAAUUCGUAGAUAUUGGGAAGAACACCGGUGGCGAAGGCGGCUCACUGGCUCGUAACUGACGCUCAGGCGCGACAGCGUGGGGAUCAAACAGG